AACAAAAGUGAUUCCGAUAGUAGCGGCGAGCGAACUUGGAUUAGCCCAAACCAAUAUUGUUACGGCAAUAUUGGGGUUGUAGGACUACGAUAUUCUGUGCUUUAUGAAUUAGAACGCUUUGGAAAGAGCGGCCAUAGACGGUGAUAGCCCGGUAUAAGUAAAGACAGUUACAGAUAGUAGUAUCCUGAGUAGUGCGGGGCACGUGAAACCCUGUAUGAAUUUGGCGGGACCAUCCGUUAAGGCUAAAUACUCCUGAGAGACCGAUAGUGAACCAGUACCGUGAGGGAAAGGU
rnacentral:rRNA from 1 species